rnacentral:misc_RNA from 1 species
AAGUCGUAACAAGGUUUCCGUAGGUGAACCUGCGGAAGGAUCAUUAAUGAAAUUCUGACUGAGGCUGUAGCUGGUCCCUAGCCGGACAUGUGCACGUCUCUUUCAAAAUCCACAAACACCUGUGCACCUUUGCGCGAGUCCACUGGGGUUGUACCCGAGGGGGCUUGCGUCCUUUUCACAAACCCUUGUAUGUCUUUAAGAAUGUCUAUCUUGAUGUAAUAAAACGCAUCUAAUACAACUUUCAACAACGGAUCUCUUGGCUCUC